rnacentral:pre_miRNA from 1 species
GGCCUCCCUCUUUGGGGCGAUCGAUCAUGGAACCACCCCCACCCCCCCUCAUCGAUUGCCCUGCAGAGGGUGGCC